rnacentral:rRNA from 1 species
CACGUAGGGGGCGAGCGUUGUCCGGAUUUAUUGGGCGUAAAGAGCUCGUAGGUGGCUCGGUAAGUCGGGUGUGAAAUUUCGAGGCUCAACCUCGAGACGCCACCUGAUACUGCUGUGGCUAGAGUCCGGUAGGGGAGCGUGGAAUUCCUGGUGUAGCGGUGAAAUGCGCAGAUAUCAGGAGGAACACCGGUGGCGAAGGCGGCAUCCUGGACCAACACUGACACUGAUGAGCGAAAGCCAGGGGAGCAAACGGG